GCUGCGGUUUUUACUGAACAAAAACACGAUAACGUUCACAUUUAUCAACCGAUUUCAGAGUUCCACGACGGCUCUUUGAGGUCCAGAGACCCUCUUCAGGUCAAACUCCUCUCUGCUGAUCUGUCUGCAGAACAAGUGAGGUGGAGACGCCAUGGACGUGUCUGUGUUUGUCAUCUUGAAGAAACCAUAACAUGCGAGGAGAUCAGAAUGUGGGCUUGGUGGCCAACAGCUCGUCCAAGUCCACCUCAUCCGCAGAUCCCAGAAUGCACCGCGGGAAGGUCUGGACCAUCUGCACAGGGAGCGAAGGCACCCACAAGAGACAGACCGUGUCAAAGCUGCUCAUCAAAUCUACCGAAAGCUGAGCUGAAUUCUAAAUUAACCAAACCAUUUAAGGACUAUCAGUUAUUUAUAUAUUUGCCAAAUGUUUAACAUGUAUAGAGAAUAUCUGUCUGAGGAGGUGAGUGAAUUACCAGGGUACGAGCUCCUAUGGUGUCAUUCAGAGGCGGGAGAGAGGGGUUUGCACACACUUUAGCCAUCAGAUUAUUUUUCACAUAUUUUUUUUAAUUAUUAGGUAUAAUAA